UGGUGCCCAGCGUGGGGGCUCCUGGCACAGGGGAGUCAAUGAAGGAGCUGUUCGAGAAUGCCAGCUAAAAGUGAGAGCAAAUUGAAUCAAGGACUGAGGCCUGCACCAAUGAUUGCCUGACAUGCCUCCCGAGUCACGGUGAGUGAAUGGCAAUCCCAUUCCCUUUCCCUGACAUGGGUCAAGCAUUGAGCGAACAUGAAUUGUUCGUGGGAGGCCUUAGCAAGGCAUUAAAGACAAGAGGGAUAAGGGUUAGAAUGAAAGAAUUGUUGCAGUAUUUUCAAUUUAUUUUUAAGGUUUGCCCUU
rfam:Cavia porcellus supercont2_7 genomic scaffold, whole genome shotgun sequence.